rnacentral:rRNA from 1 species
UUCCGGUUGAUCCUGCCGGACCCGACUGCUAUUUGGGUGAGGAUAAGCCAUGCGAGUUGAAUGGGAAACCUAAAGUUCCCAUGGCAAACUGCUCAGUAACACAUGAUCAACUUAACCUAUAGAGAAAAAUAACCUCGGGAAACUGAGGAUAAUGUUUCAUAGCUGAAUUGGCUUGGAAAAGUUUUUCGGCGAAAGGGGUAAAAAAAAUGGUUUUUAUCUGCUAUAGGAUAGGAUCGUGUUCGAUUAUGGUUGUUGGUGAGGUAAUGGCUCACCAAGCCGAUAAUCGAUAGGGGCCGUGAGAGCGGGAGCCCCGAGAUGGGUACUGAGACAACGACCCAGGCCUUACGAGGCGCAGCAGGCGCGAAACCUCCGCAAUACACGAAAGUGUGACGGGGUUACCCAAAGUGUUCAAUAGAACUGUGGUAGGUGAGUAAUGUUCCCUACUAGAAAGGAGAGGGCAAGGCUGGUGCCAGCCGCCGCGGUAAAACCAGCUCUUCAAGUGGUCGGGAUAAUUAUUGGGCUUAAAGUGUCCGUAGCCGGUUCAGUAAGUUCCUGGUAAAAUCGGGUAGCUUAACUAUCUAUAUGCUAGGAAUACUACUAUACUAGAGGGCGGGAGAGGUCUGAGGUACUACAGGGGUAGGGGUGAAAUCUUAUAAUCCUUGUUGGACCACCAGUGGCGAAGGCGUCAGACUGGAACGCGCCUGACGGUGAGGGACGAAAGCCAGGGGAGCGAACCGGAUUAGAUACCCGGGUAGUCCUGGCCGUAAACGAUGCAUACUAGGUGAUGGCACGGCCAUGAGCCGUGUCAGUGCCGUAGGGAAACCGUUAAGUGUGCCGCCUGGGAAGUACGGUCGCAAGGCUAAAACUUAAAGGAAUUGGCGGGGGAGCACCACAAGGGGUGAAGCCUGCGGUUCAAUUGGAUUCAACGCCGGA